AAUAAAAAGAAGAAAGAAGAAAGAAAAGAAAUACAGAGAAUAUUUGGGAGUUUCUCUCUCUCUCUCCCUCUUUCUCUCCCUCUUCCUCCUCAUUUUUUACAUUUUA
rnacentral:ribozyme from 13 species